UAAAUAAUACAAAUGGCGAGCUAGUGAAAAGAAAACAAAAUAUUGAAGAGGUUAAGUUUUAAUCUGUAAGCCUUAAAAAUAAACUCAAAUAAUUAUUGAUUACACUGCUAAUCAGGGUUGUAUUUAAUUAUCUUACGUUCAAAUAUUAUUAAAAUGUCUUUGACGGCAACAGUUGGAUAUUUAGUAAUGCAUCGUAAUAAUGCUCCAGAAAGUAGUAGUUCAUCCAGUUCAGAUGAAGAAUGGUCUACAAUUUUACAAAAAUAUGUUUGUGAAAAAAGAAAACUUCGACCACGUAUUAUUGAUUACGAUAACGUAGUUUAUCGUUAUUCAGAUGAUGAAUUCAAAAGUCAUUUCAGACUUUCAAGAAAUACAUUUAAUUAUUUACAUGACUUAAUACGAGAAGAUUUAGUUCGACACGUUCCUGGAUGCCCUACAAUUUCCUCCUAUCAUCAAUUAAUGAUUGCUAUUUGGAAAAUGGCUACAACAGAUUCUUACAGAUCCGUCUGCGACAGAUUUAACGUAGGACGAGCUACUGCCGUAAGGGCUGUACGUCGAGUUUGUCAUGCUUUAUUCAGAAGAGCCUCAAGAUUUAUACAAUAGCCUACGGGAGAUGGUGCUAUUGAAGUAAUGCGUGGAUUUGAGAGAGCAAGUGGUUUUCCUAAAACAAUAGGAGCCAUUGAUGGGACUCACAUUCGUAUAAAUGCUCCAAAACAAAAUCCAGUAGAUUAUAUCAAUCGGAAAGGAUUCCAUUCUGUUCAACUACAGCUGGUAUGUGACCACAAGGCUCUGAUAACCCAUUGUUAUGCUGGAAAUCCAGGAUCUGUUCAUGAUCAAAGAGUUUUUCGUUUGUCAGAAGUUGCAGAGUACUUGAACGAUGACAAUGCAUUUCCUGAAGACAGUCAUAUUUUAGGUGAUUCUGCUUAUGAAAUACAUCAGCACUUACUUACUCCUUAUCGAGAUAAUGGACAUUUAAGUGAGAAGCAGAAAAAAUAUAAUUAUCGUCAAUCAGCUGCUCGAGUUACUGUUGAAAGAUGCAUCGGAUUAUUGAAAGGACGAAUGAGGAGCUUAUUAAAUUGUCUACCAAUGGCAAGAGUCGAUUUAAUGGCAGAGUAUAUUGUUGCAUGUUGCGUUAUUCAUAAUAUCUGUAUUUUACGAGAAGAUGAAAUAACUAUUAUCACUAUACCCAAACCUAAUGACGAAAAUAAUGGUAAUAAUUCACGCGAAGUAAGACGUAAUGCAGGAAUUUUGAAAAGAGAUAUUAUAAUGAAUUCUUUGUAAUAAUUAUGAUGGUUAAUUGUCAACUAUGUUUCCGUUCGGGAUGAUAAUUCCUUAGCACUUAAAAUCAUGAGAAUGUCAUGAAAGUUUCUUUGGCAGUUGAAAAUUUUUUCAAAGAAAAAAAAAUAUUUUCACGGAAUAUGAAAAUUUCAAAUUUUCCAAAAAAUUUGUUAAUACCAUAAUAAUCUUAAGUCAAUAACAAAAAUUGAACAUAAAAAUUGCACAAAAUUGAAUUUUGUAAAUAUGAAACUUUAUUAAUUAUAA
rnacentral:lncRNA from 1 species